GGAAAUCUCACCAGGCCCAGACACUGGAAGGAUUGACAGAUUGAUAGCUCUUUCUCGAUUCGGUGGGUGGUGGUGCAUGGCCGUUCUUAGUUGGUGGAGCGAUCUGUCUGGUUAAUUCCGAUAACGAACGAGACCCCAACCUGCUAACUAGCCCUCGGGUCCUGCUUCUGUUGGGCCCGACGGAAUGAUUCGCUUCUUAGAGGGACUCGCGGCGCCUAGCCGCACGAAGGGGGGCGAUAA
rnacentral:rRNA from 1 species